rnacentral:rRNA from 1 species
UACGUAGGGACCGAGCGUUGUUCGGAAUCACUGGGCGUAAAGCGCACGUAGGCGGAUCUUUAAGUCAGGGGUGAAAUCCCGAGGCUCAACCUCGGAACUGCCUUUGAUACUGGGGAUCUCGAGUCCGGGAGAGGUGAGUGGAACUGCGAGUGUAGAGGUGAAAUUCGUAGAUAUUCGCAAGAACACCAGUGGCGAAGGCGGCUCACUGGCCCGGAACUGACGCUGAGGUGCGAAAGCGUGGGGAGCAAACAGG